CGGGGUGUCAGCUGAUCUCAAGAUUCAGAGGAGGGAAGAUGCUUCAGACAAUAGGGAGGACUUUGGAGUUGCAGCGGCAAAAUGAAAGGGUGAUGAGAAAGUAAAGCACAGAGUGCAUAUGAAACUUUCUAGACACUUGAACAUGACACUCUCCUGGGAGCCCUUUGGUUAUAUUCUCCUCCAAAAGCCCAAAGACCCUGUAAUACCAUCACACAGCUAUUUUGUUUUGCGUAUUUUUUCUGGAAAAAAGGAUAAAACAAAUUAUGACUGCGUAUGAUUCAAAGUCCCACCAAAAUCUGUAUGCCCC
rnacentral:lncRNA from 1 species